ACAUUAACCCCAAACCUCCAGAGAAUCAAAGUUCAGAGUGAAGCUGCUUCUUCUUUUCCAACGCUUGAGAGUACAGACCAGAGAAGGAGUCACCGUCACAGAGAGAGGCAGAGAGAACUUCUUCUUCUCUGACGACUGAGAAAACCCGCCGUCUUCCGUCGGAGAGCAGAGCUUCUUCUUCUUCUUCUCCUCCUCCGCCGAGUCCGCCGCUGCGCCAUCCUCUUCAUGUCUUCAAUUCAAAGAUUGAUGAAGGAAGAAAGGCAUUGCAGGCUGGCAAAUACAAGUAGCAAACUUACAAAGAAGUGUAUGUAUGAGGUGAUACAGAAAGUUGGAAGCUCUAUCCGCAGUUGUGGUUACGGGCAAGGAGUGAAAUGCGGUAUCUUUGGUGCCAAUUGCCCUGGGUGGAUAAUAAGCAUGGAGGGAUGAGCAUAAUGCCGAUCCAGUUGCUGCUGUAGAAUUUCCAGCUAAGUAUUGCAAAAGGGCUAUGGUAACUUUGGGCCAUAAUGGAUGCAUUGCUAAACAUGGCAAGGAGCUCCUCAUUACACCAAUUCUAGAUGGAAAAGCCCUUCUUUAUUCAUUUUCAUCAAAACCUGAGGUGAGAAUUGAAAUUGCGUUUGGAAGUGGCGGAACAGACGUGCCUGGUGUUUCUUCUUGGCUGGUGCGUCUUGGAGAAUUUACUUUUGAAAAAGCUCAUGUUUAUCAUUUCUGGCAUAAUUCAAUCCAUUUUGACAUAAUUAAAUCAAGAUGAUUCUAUAUUCAUUUUUGGCAUAAUUAUUUAGAUGAGUAUGAGUAGGUUAUUUACUUUAAUUUGUAUAUUUUGUAUUAUUGGUGGAUUGAAAUUUAA